CCCUUAGAUGUUCUGGGCCGCACGCGCGCUACUCUGACUGACUCAACGAGUGUACAACCUGCUUCGACAGAAGUGGGUAAUCUCCAAAUUUCGUCGUGAUGGGGAUAGAUUAUUGCAAUUAUUAAUCUUCAACGAGGAAUGCCUAGUAAGCGCAAGUCAUCAGCUUGCGUUGAUUACGUCCCUGCCCUUUGUACACACCGCCCGUCGCUCCUACCGAUUGAAUGGUCCGGUGAAGCGUUCGGACCGCUUCCUUUGGACGGGCAACCGUCUGUUGGUCGUGGGAAGUUCGUUAAACCUUAUCAUUUAGAGGAAGGAGAAGUCGUAACA
rnacentral:rRNA from 1 species